CUUGGUCAUUUAGAGGAAGUAAAAGUCGUAACAAGGUCUCCGUUGGUGAACCAGCGGAGGGAUCAUUAAAGAGUUGCAAAACUCCCUUUAAACCAUCGCGAACGUUACCCACGACGCCGUUGCCUCGGCGGAGCGUCGCCCCGUGCCGUCAAAAGUACGGGGCGUGCGCCCGCCGGGAGACCGGCACAACCAAACUCUUAUAACCAUUGGCCUCUCUGAGUAAGAUUUUUAAAUAAGUCAAAACUUUCAACAACGGAUCUCUUGGUUCUGGCAUCGAUGAAGAACGCAGCGAAAUGCGAUAAGUAAUGUGAAUUGCAGAAUUCAGUGAAUCAUCGAAUCUUUGAACGCACAUUGCGCCCGCCAGUAUUCUGGCGGGCAUGCCUGUUCGAGCGUCAUUUCAACCAUCAAGCCCUGCUUGUGUUGGGGUCCUGCGGCUGCCCGCAGGCCCUGAAAACCAGUGGCGGGCUCGCUAGUCACACCGAGCGCAGUAGCACAUCUCGCUUUGGUCGUGCGGCGGGUUCUUGCCGUAAAACACCCCCCUUUUAUCAAGGUUGACCUCGGAUCAGGUAGGAAUACCCGCUGAACUUAAGCAUAUCAAUAAGCGGAGGAAAAGAAACCAACAGGGAUUGCCCUAGUAACGGCGAGUGAAGCGGCAACAGCUCAUAUUUGAAAUCUGGCUUCGGCCCGAGUUGUAAUUUGUAGAGGGAGCUUUUGGCGAGGCACCUACUGAGUCCCCUGGAACGGGGCGCCAUAGAGGGUGAGAGCCCCGUAUAGUAGGACGCCGAGCCUUUGUAAAGCCCCUUCGACGAGUCGAGUUGUUUGGGAAU
rnacentral:sRNA from 1 species